AUUGAACGCUGGCGGCAGGCUUAACACAUGCAAGUCGAACGAGAGGCGGACGGGUGAGUAAUGUCUGGGAAACUGCCCGAUGGAGGGGGAUAACUACUGGAAACGGUAGCUAAUACCGCAUACCAUCGGAUGUGCCCAGAUGGGAUUGGCUAGUAGGUGGGGUAACGGCUCACCUAGGCGACGGUCCCUAGCUGGUCUGAGAGGCGGACCAGCCACACUGGAACUGAGCCACGGGCCAGACUCCUACGGGAGGCAGCAGUGGGGAAUAUUGAGCAAUGGGCGCAAGCCUGAUGCAGCCAUGCCGCGUGUGUGAAGAAGGCCUUCGGGUUGUAAAGUACUUUCAGCGAGGAGGCGUUACUCGCAGAAGAAGCACCGGCUAACUCCGUGCCAGCAGCCGCGGUAAUAC
rnacentral:rRNA from 1 species